GUAACAAGGUCUCCGUAGGUGAACCUGCGGAGGGAUCAUUACACAAAUAUGAAGGCGGGCUGGAACCUCUCGGGGUUACAGCCUUGCUGAAUUAUUCACCCUUGUCUUUUGCGUACUUCUUGUUUCCUUGGUGGGUUCGCCCACCACUAGGACAAACAUAAACCUUUUGUAAUUGCAAUCAGCGUCAGUAACAAAUUAAUAAUUACAACUUUCAACAACGGAUCUCUUGGUUCUGGCAUCGAUGAAGAACGCAGCGAAAUGCGAUAAGUAGUGUGAAUUGCAGAAUUCAGUGAAUCAUCGAAUCUUUGAACGCACAUUGCGCCCUUUGGUAUUCCAAAGGGCAUGCCUGUUCGAGCGUCAUUUGUACCCUCAAGCUUUGCUUGGUGUUGGGCGUCUUGUCUCUAGCUUUGCUGGAGACUCGCCUUAAAGUAAUUGGCAGCCGGCCUACUGGUUUCGGAGCGCAGCACAAGUCGCACUCUCUAUCAGCAAAGGUCUAGCAUCCAUUAAGCCUUUUUUCAACUUUUGACCUCGGAUCAGGUAGGGAUACCCGCUGAACUUA
rnacentral:rRNA from 1 species